rnacentral:rRNA from 1 species
CUGUAAUUGGAAUGAGUACACUUUAAAUCCUUUAACAAGGACCUAUUGGAGGGCAAGUCUGGUGCCAGCAGCCGCGGUAACUCCAGCUCCAAUAGCGUAUAUUAAAGUUGUUGCGGUUAAAACGUUCGUAGUUGAACUUGUGCUUCAUACGGGUAGUACAGCUAUAAUUGUAGUUUGUACUGUACCUUAUGUAUGUAAGCGUAUUACCGGUGGAGUUCUUAUAUGUAUUAAAUACUUGUAUUUAUGCAUGUUCCUCCUAUUUAAACCUGCUUCAGUGCUCUUCAUCGAGUGUUGUUGUGGGCCGGUACAAUUACUUUGAACAAAUUAGAGUGCUUAAAGCAGGCUCCAAAUGCCUGAAUAUUUUGUGCAUGGAAUAAUGAAAUAAGACCUCUGUUCUACUUUCAUUGGUUUUUAGAUCAAGAGGUAAUGAUUAAUAGAAGCAGUUUGGGGGCAUUAGUAUUACGACGCGAGAGGUGAAAUUCUUGGACCGUCGUAAGACUAACUUAAGCGAAAGCAUUUGCCAAAGAUGUUUUCAUUAAUCAAGAACGAAAGUUAGAGGUUCGAAGGCGAUCAGAUACCGCCCUAGUUCUAACCAUAAACGAUGCCAGCUAGCAAUUGGGUGUAGCUACUAUCAUGGCUCUCUCAGUCGCUUCCCGGGAAACCAAAGCUUUUGGGCUCCGGGGGAAGUAUGGUUGCAAAGCUGAAACUUAAAGGAAUUGACGGAAGGGCACCACCAGGAGUGGAGCCUGCGGCUUAAUUUGACUCAAC